UAACCUGCCCAAGAGAUCGGGAUAACACCUGGAAACAGAUGCUAAUACCGGAUAACAACAGAUGAUGCCUAUCAACUGUUUAAAAGAUGGUUCUGCUAUCACUCUUGGAUGGACCUGCGGUGCAUUAGCUAGUUGGCAGGGUAACGGCCUACCAAGGCGAUGAUGCAUAGCCGAGUUGAGAGACUGAUCGGCCACAUUGGGACUGAGACACGGCCCAAACUCCUACGGGAGGCAGCAGCC
rnacentral:rRNA from 1 species